UUGUCUGCUGUCAGCUGUUAAACCAAAGCCACAAGUAGUGUUCAUUCUUGUUAAAUUCUAUCAGAUUUAUGACUUCUCUCACACUAAAGCUUUUGUUUAUUAUAAUAUUUGAAAUACAAUGUAUAUAUGUAAUAUGUGGUUUCUCUAUUUAUAUAGAAAUGUGCAUUAUAUGAUCUUUGAUUUUUAUCACUACAGAAGGGCUUUUUUUGUUUGGAAUUUUUUAUUAAUGAAAUCAUAAUGAAUUACGAUGAUUCCAUUUGUAGAGUUGUCAGGAAUAUCUUAGUUUGUAUCAGUUAUUAUAGUAGGAAUCAUGCAAUGGUUUUCUGAUUCAGUUUAUUGAAUUGUUUUUCUUUUUAAUAAAAAAAAUGUUGCAAAUAUGUUCAGGAAGAGUGCCGGAUUAGAUUUAGUGGGAAAAGGACAUGUCAACAAAAACCCAUUACUGAAGGAAGAAUGUGCUUAAAUAUCAUUUUAUACAUUUAAUACUUUAUAUAAAAAAUGCAUUAUUUGAAUCAAUACAUCAGAGUUUUGUAUUUUGCAGUGAAUGAAACCUACAAUGACAUCAGUGUUUGUUUGUAAAGAAGUUGGUCAUGUUUAUAACUUAUUUUUUCCAUGAUUAAAGGAUUGUUGGCAUUG
rnacentral:misc_RNA from 1 species